rnacentral:rRNA from 1 species
UACAUGAGGUGCAAACGUUGCUCGGAAUUAUUGGGCGUAAAGCGCGCGUAGGCGGUUACUCAAGUCAGAUGUGAAAGCCCUCGGCUUAACUGAGGAAGUGCACCCGAAACUGAGUAGCUAGAGUACUAAAGAGGGUCGCGGAAUUCCCGGUGUAGAGGUUAAAUUCGUAGAUAUCGGGAGGAACACCGAUGGCGAAGGCGGCGACCUGGGUAGAUACUGACGCUGAGGCGCGAAAGCGUGGGGAGCAAACAGG